rnacentral:rRNA from 1 species
GAAUAUGGGGGGACCAUCCUCCAAGGCUAAAUACUCCUGACUGACCGAUAGUGAACCAGUACCGUGAGGGAAAGGCGAAAAGAACCCCGGCGAGGGGAGUGAAAAAGAACCUGAAACCGUGUACGUACAAGCAGUGGGAGCACAGAGCAAUCUGUGUGACUGCGUACCUUUUGUAUAAUGGGUCAGCGACUUAUAUUCUGUAGCAAGGUUAACCGAAUAGGGGAGCCGAAGGGAAACCGAGUCUUAACUGGGCGUUAAGUUGCAGGGUAUAGACCCGAAACCCGGUGAUCUAGCCAUGGGCAGGUUGAAGGUUGGGUAACACUAACUGGAGGACCGAACCGACUAAUGUUGAAAAAUUAGCGGAUGACUUGUGGCUGGGGGUGAAAGGCCAAUCAAACCGGGAGAUAGCUGGUUCUCCCCGAAAGCUAUUUAGGUAGCGCCUCGUGAAUUCAUCUCCGGGGGUAGAGCACUGUUUCGGCAAGGGGGUCAUCCCGACUUACCAACCCGAUGCAAACUGCGAAUACCGGAGAAUGUUAUCACGGGAGACACACGGCGGGUGCUAACGUCCGUCGUGAAGAGGGAAACAACCCAGACCGCCAGCUAAGGUCCCAAAGUCAUGGUUAAGUGGGAAACGAUGUGGGAAGGCCCAGACAGCCAGGAUGUUGGCUUAGAAGCAGCCAUCAUUUAAAGAAAGCGUAAUAGCUCACUGGUCGAGUCGGCCUGCGCGGAAGAUGUAACGGGGCUAAACCAUGCACCGAAGCUGCGGCAGCGACACUGUGUGUUGUUGGGUAGGGGAGCGUUCUGUAAGCCUGUGAAGGUGUGCUGUGAGGCAUGCUGGAGGUAUCAGAAGUGCGAAUGCUGACAUAAGUAACGAUAAAGCGGGUGAAAAGCCCGCUCGCCGGAAGACCAAGGGUUCCUGUCCAACGUUAAUCGGGGCAGGGUGAGUCGACCCCUAAGGCGAGGCCGAAAGGCGUAGUCGAUGGGAAACAGGUUAAUAUUCCUGUACUUGGUGUUACUGCGAAGGGGGGACGGAGAAGGCUAUGUUGGCCGGGCGACGGUUGUCCCGGUUUAAGCGUGUAGGCUGGUUUUCCAGGCAAAUCCGGAAAAUCAAGGCUGAGGCGUGAUGACGAGGCACUACGGUGCUGAAGCAACAAAUGCCCUGCUUCCAGGAAAAGCCUCUAAGCAUCAGGUAACAUCAAAUCGUACCCCAAACCGACACAGGUGGUCAGGUAGAGAAUACCAAGGCGCUUGAGAGAACUCGGGUGAAGGAACUAGGCAAAAUGGUGCCGUAACUUCGGGAGAAGGCACGCUGAUAUGUAGGUGAAGUCCCUCGCGGAUGGAGCUGAAAUCAGUCGAAGAUACCAGCUGGCUGCAACUGUUUAUUAAAAACACAGCACUGUGCAAACACGAAAGUGGACGUAUACGGUGUGACGCCUGCCCGGUGCCGGAAGGUUAAUUGAUGGGGUCAGCGCAAGCGAAGCUCUUGAUCGAAGCCCCGGUAAACGGCGGCCGUAACUAUAACGGUCCUAAGGUAGCGAAAUUCCUUGUCGGGUAAGUUCCGACCUGCACGAAUGGCGUAAUGAUGGCCAGGCUGUCUCCACCCGAGACUCAGUGAAAUUGAACUCGCUGUGAAGAUGCAGUGUACCCGCGGCAAGACGGAAAGACCCCGUGAACCUUUACUAUAGCUUGACACUGAACAUUGAGCCUUGAUGUGUAGGAUAGGUGGGAGGCUUUGAAGUGUGGACGCCAGUCUGCAUGGAGCCGACCUUGAAAUACCACCCUUUAAUGUUUGAUGUUCUAACGUGGACCCGUGAUCCGGGUUGCGGACAGUGUCUGGUGGGUAGUUUGACUGGGGCGGUCUCCUCCUAAAGAGUAACGGAGGAGCACGAAGGUUGGCUAAUCCUGGUCGGACAUCAGGAGGUUAGUGCAAUGGCAUAAGCCAGCUUGACUGCGAGCGUGACGGCGCGAGCAGGUGCGAAAGCAGGUCAUAGUGAUCCGGUGGUUCUGAAUGGAAGGGCCAUCGCUCAACGGAUAAAAGGUACUCCGGGGAUAACAGGCUGAUACCGCCCAAGAGUUCAUAUCGACGGCGGUGUUUGGCACCUCGAUGUCGGCUCAUCACAUCCUGGGGCUGAAGUAGGUCCCAAGGGUAUGGCUGUUCGCCAUUUAAAGUGGUACGCGAGCUGGGUUUAGAACGUCGUGAGACAGUUCGGUCCCUAUCUGCCGUGGGCGCUGGAGAACUGAGGGGGGCUGCUCCUAGUACGAGAGGACCGGAGUGGACGCAUCACUGGUGUUCGGGUUGUCAUGCCAAUGGCACUGCCCGGUAGCUAAAUGCGGAAGAGAUAAGUGCUGAAAGCAUCUAAGCACGAAACUUGCCCCGAGAUGAGUUCUCCCUGACCCUUUAAGGGUCCUGAAGGAACGUUGAAGACGACGACGUUGAUAGGCCGGGUGUGUAAGCGCAGCGAUGCGUUGAGCUAACCGGUACUAAUGAACCGUGAGGCUUAACCUUACAACGCCGAAGGUGUUU